AUUGAACGCUGGCGGCAGGCCUAACACAUGCAAGUCGAACGGAGCGGCGGACGGGGAAGUAAUGCCUAGUAAUCUGCCUGGUGGUGGGCUAUAACUCACGGAAACGUGCGCUAAUACCGCAUACUAUCAGGUGAGUUUAGGUUGUAUGAGCUAGUUGGUGGGGUAAAGUCUUACCAAGGCGACGAUCCGUAACUGGCCUGAGAGGAUGAUCCGUCACACUGGAACUGAGACACGGCCCAGACGCCUACGGGAGGCAGCAGUGGGGAAUAUUGGACAAUGGGCGAAAGCCUGAUCGAGCCAUGCCGCGUGUGUGAAGAAGGUCUUCGGAUUGUAAAGCACUUUAAGUUGGGAAGCGGUACCAAAAGAAUAAGCACCGGCUAACUUCGUGCCAGCAGCCGCGGUAAUAC
rnacentral:rRNA from 1 species